GGAUUACAGGCGUGAGCCACCGCAUCCGGCCCACCUUUUAAAUAUAGUUACUGAAUCACUUUCCAUUGUUUUUCUUCGUCAUAAAUAGCUCUAACCACUUUCAUUCUUGCUCCAGGACUGGAUCCUCAUCAUCUGAAUUUAUCUUCUGGAGGCCUCAGGGGCGUGUUCCCUAUGUCAGGAGAGCUGUGUCAAAGGCAACCAACCUAGGGUAUUUCUAACCAGCGACCAGCAAACAGGUCUUAAUCAUUCGCAUGGAUAAGUCAUUGAGUUGGAAACUUUAGAGAGAGUAAAAAUAAAAAGAAUUCACACUCUAACCAGAGUUCUUAACAGAUUUCAGGGAAGAAGGUGUGUGGGCACGAGAGCCUGGGCCAUUGAACCCUCUCAUCUGCACAGAGGACUCCACCUGACUCCUCACCUGCCUGCCCUGGCCCAGGUGACAAGACAGCUGCUUUCUGCAAUUGGCCGGGCACCCUA
rnacentral:lncRNA from 10 species